UACGAAGGGGGCUAGCGUUGCUCGGAUUGACUGGGCGUAAAGGGCGCGUAGGCGGUUCGUACAGUCAGACGUGAAAUUCCUGGGCUCAACCUGGGGGCUGCGUUUGAUACGUGCGGACUUGAGUGCGGAAGAGGGAUGCGGAAUUCCAGGUGUAGCGGUGAAAUGCGUAGAUAUCUGGAGGAACACCGGUGGCGAAGGCGGCAUCCUGGACCAUUACUGACACUGAAUAGCGAAAGCCAGGGGAGCAAACGGG
rnacentral:rRNA from 1 species